UCGAACGAUGAAGCCCUUCGGGGUGGAUUAGUGGCGAACGGGUGAGUAACACGUGGGCAAUCUGCCCUUCACUCUGGGACAAGCCUUGGAAACGAGGUCUAAUACCGGAUAACACUCCCAUUCUCCUGGAUGGGGGUUAAAAGCUCCGGCGGUGAAGGAUGAGCCCGCGGCCUAUCAGCUUGUUGGUGAGGUAAUGGCUCACCAAGGCGACGACGGGUAGCCGGCCUGAGAGGGCGACCGGCCACACUGGGACUGAGACACGGCCCAGACUCCUACGGGAGGCAGCAGUGGGGAAUAUUGCACAAUGGGCGAAAGCCUGAUGCAGCGACGCCGCGUGAGGGAUGACGGCCUUCGGGUUGUAAACCUCUUUCAGCAGGGAAGAAGCGAAAGUGACGGUACCUGCAGAAGAAGCGCCGGCUAACUACGUGCCAGCAGCCGCGGUAAUACGUAGGGCGCAAGCGUUGUCCGGAAUUAUUGGGCGUAAAGAGCUCGUAGGCGGCUUGUCACGUCGAUUGUGAAAGCUCGGGGCUUAACCCCGAGUCUGCAGUCGAUACGGGCUAGCUAGAGUGUGGUAGGGGAGAUCGGAAUUCCUGGUGUAGCGGUGAAAUGCGCAGAUAUCAGGAGGAACACCGGUGGCGAAGGCGGAUCUCUGGGCCAUUACUGACGCUGAGGAGCGAAAGCGUGGGGAGCGAACAGGAU
rnacentral:rRNA from 1 species